rnacentral:rRNA from 1 species
UACGGAGGGUGCGAGCGUUGUCCGGAAUCAUUGGGCGUAAAGGGCGCGUAGGUGGCCCGGUCAGUUCGUGGUGAAAGCGCGGGGCUCAACCCUGCGUCGGCCAUGAAUACUGCCGCGGCUGGAGCACUGUAGAGGCAGGCGGAAUUCCGGGUGUAGCGGUGGAAUGCGUAGAGAGUCGGGAGAAGGCCGGGUGGCGAAGGCAGCCCCCUGGGCCAACACUGACGCUCAGGCACGA